rnacentral:rRNA from 1 species
AGAGUUUGAUCCUGGCUCAGAACGAACGCUGGCGGCAGGCUUAACACAUGCAAGUCGAGCGCCCAGCAAUGGGAGCGGCGGACGGGUGAGUAACACGUGGGAACAUGCCCUUCGGUACGGGACAACUCAGGGAAACUUGAGCUAAUACCGCAUACGCCCUAACGGGGAAAGAUUUAUCGCCGAAGGAUUGGCCCGCGUCUGAUUAGCUAGUUGGUGAGGUAACGGCUCACCAAGGCUUCGAUCAGUAGCUGGUUUGAGAGAGCGACCAGCCACACUGGGACUGAGACACGGCCCAGACUCCUACGGGAGGCAGCAGUGGGGAAUCUUGGACAAUGGGGGAAACUCUGAUCCAGCCAUGCCGCGUGAGUGAUGAAGGCCCUAGGGUUGUAAAACUCUUUCGGCGGGG